rnacentral:rRNA from 1 species
AGCGAACGCUGGCGGCAGGCCUAACACAUGCAAGUCGAACGGAUCCUUCGGGAUUAGUGGCGGACGGGUGAGUAACACGUGGGAACGUGCCCUUUGGUUCGGAACAACUCAGGGAAACUUGAGCUAAUACCGGAUGUGCCCUUCGGGGGAAAGAUUUAUCGCCAUUGGAGCGGCCCGCGUCUGAUUAGCUAGUUGGUGAGGUAAAGGCUCACCAAGGCGACGAUCAGUAGCUGGUCUGAGAGGAUGAUCAGCCACAUUGGGACUGAGACACGGCCCAAGCUCCUACGGGAGGCAGCAGUGGGGAAUCUUGCGCAAUGGGCGAAAGCCUGACGGAGCCAUGCCGCGUGAAUGAUGAAGGUCUUAGGAUUGUAAAAUUCUUUCACCGGGGACGAUAAUGACGGUACCCGGAGAAGAAGCCCCGGCUAACUUCGUGCCAGCCGCCGCGGUAA